AGAAGUCCAAAUAUAACAAAUAAAAGGAGAUAUAAUAAAAUACAGGAAAACCGUAUGGACAAAUAUGAAAAUUGACAAAAAUAAACCCAAAAACCUAGCUAUAUAAACGCCAAUAUAUUCAUCCCCUUUCCUUCUCAAGCAAAGUCUCUUCUUUUCAUGGGAUCUUACGUUUGGGCAGUUUUCUAGCAUUAUUUGCCUUCUUUCCUUUCUCUCUCAUCACAGAAAGCAUAAUUCUAGAGAGAGAAAGUCAUAUUAUAUAUAGAGAGAUUAUAGAUAUAUAGAUAUACAGAUAUACAGAUAUAUAGAGAGAAAUCAAGAAAAGAGAUGGCAAAGUAUAUGGAGUUAUUGGAUGUAGGGGUUAGAAUAGUGGCAAGAUUUCAUUCUCACUGCCCCCAGACGGCGCGUAUGUACUACCAUCCUCCGGCUGACAACCAGCACCACCAGAACAAUCACCCACAUGGCGGCUUCUCCGGCGGUGGCGGUGGCGGCGAGAUUUCGGAUCGGGCGGGUAAUGGUGGUUCUAAGGCGGGUAUGGGCGUUGAUAUUACUGACGUCAUUCUUUAUUUUGGUGUCUGAUCUCUGAUGAUAGGAAAUUAAUUGAAAAAGUUUGAACCAAAAGUUGUUGGGUUUAGUUGAAAGUUUUGAGAAAAUUAAUUACUGCUGGAAUUUAUGUUAUCUUUUAUUGCGGAUUAUCUUUAUUUAAAAUACAUUGCAUUUUCUUAUCGAAAUGAAUUUUUAAUAAUUUUGAUUUAUUAUUCUUUUCAUGUCAAGAAUGCAUUAGGGGUGAGGUCAUGUGGUCCAAAUACAUAAAAUAAAAGUUACUUAAAUUAAAAUAAAAAUAUGUAGUAAAACUCCGGGUUCAUUUUACAUAAUUUUGAGUAGAGUUAUAACUGAAUCGGGUGGUCUCUGAGCCAGACUCGAAUUUUAAUGGACAAAAUUUGUACACUAAAUCUCAUGUUCAUUUAAGUUAUGCUUAUUUAAAGUCGGACCCAAUUCUAUUCAGUUAACUUUUAAAUUAAUUCAAAGUUGGUAUGCGAAACAAAGAAUGUAAAAUUUACAAAUUCAAU
rnacentral:lncRNA from 1 species